rnacentral:rRNA from 1 species
CCUACGGGUGACAGCAGUAGGGAAUAUUGCUCAAUGGGGGAAACCCUGAAGCAGCAACGCCGCGUGGAGGAUGAAGGUCUUCGGAUUGUAAACUUCUUUUGUUAGAGAAGAUCAUGACGGUAUCUAAUCAACAAGCACUUGCUAACUCCGUGCCAGCAGCCGCGGUAAUACGGAGGGUGCAAGCGUUACUCGGAAUGACUGGGCGUAAAGGGCGCGUAGGCGGGUUAGCAAGUCAGAGGUGAAAUCCUAUGGCUUAACCAUAGAACUGCAUUUGAAACUGUUAUUCUAGAGUAUGGGAGAGGUAGGUGGAAUUCUUGGUGUAGGAGUAAAAUCCGUAGAGAUCAAGAGGAAUACUCAUUGCGAAGGCGACCUGCUGGAACAUAACUGACGCUGAUGCGCGAAAGCGUGGGGAGCAAACAGGAUUAGAUACCCUUGUAGUC